rnacentral:rRNA from 1 species
UGGGGAAUUUUGGACAAUGGGCGAAAGCCUGAUCCAGCAAUGCCGCGUGUGUGAAGAAGGCCUUCGGGUUGUAAAGCACUUUUGUCCGGAAAGAAAUCCUUGGCUCUAAUACAGUCGGGGGAUGACGGUACCGGAAGAAUAAGCACCGGCUAACUACGUGCCAGCAGCCGCGGUAAUACGUAGGGUGCAAGCGUUAAUCGGAAUUACUGGGCGUAAAGCGUGCGCAGGCGGUUUGCUAAGACCGAUGUGAAAUCCCCGGGCUCAACCUGGGAACUGCAUUGGUGACUGGCAGGCUAGAGUAUGGCAGAGGGGGGUAGAAUUCCACGUGUAGCAGUGAAAUGCGUAGAGAUGUGGAGGAAUACCGAUGGCGAAGGCAGCCCCCUGGGCCAAUACUGACGCUCAUGCACGAAAGCGUGGGGGAGCAAACAGGAUUAGAUACCCUGGUAGUCCACGCCCUAAACGAUGUCAACUAGUUGUUGGGGAUUCAUUUCCUUAGUAACGUAGCUAACGCGUGAAGUUGACCGCCUGGGGAGUACGGUCGCAAGAUUAAAACUCAAAUGAAUUGACGGGGUCAUA